UGGGGAAUAUUGGACAAUGGGGGGAACCCUGAUCCAGCAAUGCCGCGUGUGUGAAGAAGGCCUGAGGGUUGUAAAGCACUUUCAGUGGGGAGGAGGGUAGAUUGGUUAAGAGCUGAUAAAUUGGACGUUACCCACAGAAGAAGCACCGGCUAACUCCGUGCCAGCAGCCGCGGUAAUACGGAGGGUGCGAGCGUUAAUCGGAAUUACUGGGCGUAAAGGGUGCGUAGGUGGUUGAAUAAGUUAACUGUAAAAGCCCUGGGCUCAACCUGGGAAGGCCAGAUAAGACUGUUAAACUGGAGUAUGGGAGAGGGUAGUGGAAUUUCCGGUGUAGCGGUGAAAUGCGUAGAGAUCGGAAGGAACACCAGUGGCGAAGGCGGCUACCUGGCCUAAUACUGACACUGAGGCACGAAAGCGUGGGGAGCAAACAGGAUUAGAUACCCCCGUAGUCC
rnacentral:rRNA from 1 species